UGGGGAAUCUUGCACAAUGGGGGCAACCCUGAUGCAGCGACGCCGCGUGAGCGAUGAAGCCCUUCGGGGCGUAAAGCUCUUUCGACCGGAACGAUAAUGACGGUACCGGGAGAAGAAGCUGCGGCUAACUACGUGCCAGCAGCCGCCGUCAUACAGCGGGUCCGAGCUUUGUCCGGAAUCACUGGGCGUAAAGGGCGCGUAGGCGGCUUGGUAAGCGGGUGGUGAAAGCCCGGGGCUCAACCCCGGGUCGGCCAUGCGAACUGUCCAGCUGGAGCACGGUAGAGGCACAUGGAAUUCCGGGUGUAGCGGUGGAAUGCGUAGAGAUCCGGAAGAACACCGGUGGCGAAGGCGGUGUGCUGGGCCGUGGCUGACGCUGAGGCGCGACAGCGUGGGGAGCAAACA
rnacentral:rRNA from 1 species